GGCCGGCUGGCUCAAUGGUAGAGCGUCUGACUACGACUACAUGUAUUCGGACAAUUCUGUUUGUUUGCUAUAACUCGGUUAAUCAGGAGGUUCCAGGUUCGAGACCUGGGUUGGUCG